rnacentral:rRNA from 1 species
UAACUGUUCACCCCUUGACGGUAUCUAACCAGAAAGCCACGGCUAACUACGUGCCAGCAGCCGCGGUAAUACGUAGGUGGCAAGCGUUGUCCGGAUUUAUUGGGCGUAAAGCGAGCGCAGGCGGUUUCUUAAGUCUGAUGUGAAAGCCCCCGGCUCAACCGGGGAGGGUCAUUGGAAACUGGGAGACUUGAGUGCAGAAGAGGAGAGUGGAAUUCCAUGUGUAGCGGUGAAAUGCGUAGAUAUAUGGAGGAACACCAGUGGCGAAGGCGGCUCUUUGGUCUGUAACUGACGCUGAGGCUCGAAAGCGUGGGGAGCAAACAGGAUUAGAUACCCUGGUAGUCCACGCCGUAAACGAUGAGUGCUAAGUGUUGGAGGGUUUCCGCCCUUCAGUGCUGCAGCUAACGCAUUAAGCAUUUCCGUCCUUGUGUGAGAGGUUAUUCC